rnacentral:rRNA from 1 species
AAGGAAGGCAGCAGGCGCGUAAAUUACCCAACCCUGACACGGGGAGGUAGUGACAAUAAAUAACAAAGCGGGGCUUUUUAAGUCUUGCUAUUGGAAUGAGAGCAAUUUAAAUCCCUCAUCGAGGAUCAAUUGGAGGGCAAGUCUGGUGCCAGCAGCCGCGGUAAUUCCAGCUCCAAUAGCGUAUAUUAAAGUUGUUGCAGUUAAAAAGCUCGUAGUUGGAUUUCUGGUCUGUGUCCCGGGUCGGCCCGAUAGGGUCUGUACUAGGCGACGCUGGCCAUCCUGUGAGCAACCUUUUCUGCUAUUAAUUUAGUGGGGAAGUGAGCUCACUCGUUUACUGUGAACAAAUUAUAGUGUUUAAAGCAGGCAAUUGCCUUGAAUACAUUAGCAUGGAAUAAUAAGAUAGGACUUCUGGCCUAUUUUGUUGGUUCAGGCCUGAGGUAAUGAUUAAUAGGGAUAGUUGGGGGUAUUCAUAUUCAAUUGUCAGAGGUGAAAUUCU